rnacentral:rRNA from 1 species
AACGAACGCUGGCGGCAGGCCUAACACAUGCAAGUCGAGCGGACCCUUCGGGGUUAGCGGCGGACGGGUGAGUAACGCGUGGGAAUAUGCCCUUCUCUACGGAAUAGUCCUGGGAAACUGGGGGUAAUACCGUAUACGCCCUUUGGGGGAAAGAUUUAUCGGGGAAGGAUUAGCGCGUGUUGGAUUAGGUGGUUGGUGGGGUAAUGGCCUACCAAGCCGACGUUCCAUAGCUGGUUUGAGAGGAUGAUCAGCCACACUGGGACUGAGACACGGCCCAGACUCCUACGGGAGGCAGCAGUGGGGAAUCUUAGACAAGGGGGGCAACCCUGAUCUCGCCAUGCCGGGUGAGUGAUGAAGGCCUUAGGGUUGUAAAGCUCUUUCAGCUGGGAAGAUAAUGACGGUACCAGCAGAAGAAGCCCCGGCUAACUCCGUG